AACGAACGCUGGCGGCAUGCCUAACACAUGCAAGUCGAACGAGAUCUUCGGGUCUAGUGGCGCACGGGUGCGUAACGCGUGGGAAUCUGCCCUUUGGUUCGGAAUCACAGUUGGAAACGACUGCUAAUACCGGAUGAUGACGAAAGUCCAAAGAUUUAUCGCCAGAGGAUGAGCCCGCGUAGGAUUAGCUAGUUGGUGUGGUAAAGGCGCACCAAGGCGAGGAUCCUUAGCUGGUCUGAGAGGAUGAUCAGCCACACUGGGACUGAGACACGGCCCAGACUCCUACGGGAGGCAGCAGUGGGGAAUAUUGGACAAUGGGCGAAAGCCUGAUCCAGCAAUGCCGCGUGAGUGAUGAAGGCCUUAGGGUUGUAAAGCUCUUUUACCCGGGAUGAUAAUGACAGUACCGGGAGAAUAAGCUCCGGCUAACUCCGUGCCAGCCGCCGCAGUAA
rnacentral:rRNA from 1 species